rnacentral:rRNA from 1 species
UACGUAGGGGGCAAGCGUUGUCCGGAUUUAUUGGGCGUAAAGAGCGUGUAGGCGGCUUUACAGGUCCGUUGUGAAAACUCGAGGCUCAACCUCGAGACGCCGGUGGAAACCGUAAGGCUAGAGUCCGGAAGAGGAGAGUGGAAUUCCUGGUGUAGUGGUGAAAUACGUAGAGAUUGGGAAGAACAUCAGUGGCGAAGGCGGCUAUCUGGACGGUUUCUGACACUAAGACACGAAAGCGUGGGGAGCAAACAGG